AAGGGCUUCCAUGGUAUGUCAAAGAGCUCUUAGUAAAGGAGAGCUGAGAGGCACUAACCUAAAAUAAGCAAACAUUCAGAGGAAGAGGGUAAGCUUCGUAAGCAAGGAAAAUACCGCUUGUAAAUACAUGAAAACUUCUAGUGAAAUCACACAAAAAAGUAUUUGUACAGUGUCAAAAAAAGAAGAAAAACUUUUGGAAAAGAGGAAACUAUCAAAACUUGAGAGACAUAUUAAUGCUGUGAUAACACUUCAUGAGGAAGUGUUUUCAAAAAUAGCUGUUAAUCGGGAGAAUGAGUUCUGUGAACUGUCAACACCCUCUUCCAUGCUGACUGUAUGUUUCGUGACAAAUCUCACUUUUACAGGAAUAUGCUUGUUUAAAAGAAGCCUUUGGAGUCUAAGUCUUUUGGUCUUUCACAUCUAAAAUUGUAACAAGAGUUGCAUGUGACAAACAUAGGCUUGUUGUUUUGUUAAAGGCUUUCGUGCAUUUUACAAAAUUCUCUUUAUAUCUUCUUAGUUUCUGCCCAAAAUCUUUAAACGGAAAGCAUAAAAUAGGAUAAGGUAUACUAAGAUGCUUAUUUUAAAAUUCUUAAAUAUAUUAGGAUGUCUGGGUUUAUUUAUUUAUUUAACCAAAUUAAGCUUCAGGUUAUUUUUUAACUUACUUCGGCAUCACUGUGCACUUUGGGUAAUUUUUGUUUUGUUGCUAUGUUUAAAUACAUAUUGAUUACUUUUGCACUACAAAUAUGACCAUGUUUAUACCGUAGGUUUUAUGACAAUGCAGUAUUGUUUUCUCCUUCAUCAGAUAAUGCUUCCAAGUUCAGACAAUCAAAACAUGAUACUAAACCAUCUUGGACACUCUGCUUUUUUUCCUAAUAUCAUAAACACACAAGGAAGUUCCUCAAAUACAUUUUUGCUGUCAUCUCAUACUGGUUUCACUUCAGCAAAUGUUUCAGAAUAUAAAAGCUACAUAUUUAGAUUUGAAUAGUGAGAUGUAGUUAAUAUCACAGAAUCACAGAAUUUCUAGGUUGGAAGAGACCUCAAGAUCAUCGAGUCCAACCUCUAA
rnacentral:lncRNA from 1 species